GCGGGUAUCGUAUAGCGGUUAUUAUCCCAGUUUUCCAAACUGGUGAUGGGGGUUCGACUCCCCCUACCCGCU
rnacentral:tRNA from 1 species